CCUUCUUUCCUGCUAUCGCCUCUCUCACUCUAAAAAUAUAUUCUUCACCCAUAAUAAUAAUAAGGUCCUGUCCCAUUUUAAGUGUUUUAACCCUUGAUCACCGAUACCCUGUCCGACUGACGUAGGGCCCCGUAACGUAUGUCAAGGCUCUGCCUAAAUUCGUUGGAGUUCUGUCUCGUGACGUAGGGAUAAAGUGAAAUUGGGUUACUAUACUUGAUGUGGGUACACUACAUAUUUUAUUAAAUAACCCAGAAGUGAUACCCAAAAUAUAACAUUGAAAAUAAUGAAAAACAAUAAAUAUUAAGUUAAGGCGGGCCGCAUAGACCCACCCUAACCUUUAACGCGGGCCGCAAUAAGGUGUAACCGGACUCCGCUGGAAUCUUUAGUUCAUGCGGGCCGCGUAAGAUAUCGUUAAGUUAACGCGGGCCGCGAGAGAUCGAAGUUGUGGCGCAGCCCGGUGAUGACACGUGUCAUCAUCGUGGCGGGUCUAGGGGGUGAGCCGGACAAGCUAGUCCGUUGACCGGGAUUGACGCGGGCCGCAUAAUCCCUGUCCAUUCUUUACGCGGGCCGCGUGGGAACCAGUUUCAGCAACUAUAUAAGGAACGCAGCGGAUUUCAAUUCAGUUCGUUCAUUUCUCAAUUCUCAAAUGACAAUUUCUGUAGUAGGCUUAUUAUACUCGGAUUAUAACCAGGAAGCCACAAAGGAAAUACCUAAAAUAGCAAUGUAAUACAAUGUGAAAGCCAAUUAGAAUAAAGCCAGCUCGAGAGCACUG
rnacentral:lncRNA from 1 species